rnacentral:rRNA from 1 species
CCUACGUGAGGCAGCAGUGGGGGAUAUUGCACAAUGGGGGAAACCCUGAUGCAGCGACGCCGCGUGUGGGAAGACGGUCCUCUGGAUUGUAAACCACUGUCCCCAGGGACGAAGAUGACGGUACCUGGGGAGGAAGCUCCGGCUAACUACGUGCCAGCAGCCGCGGUAAUACGUAGGGAGCGAGCGUUGUCCGGAAUUACUGGGUGUAAAGGGAGCGUAGGCGGGACUGCAAGUUGGGUGUCAAAUCUACCGGCUCAACCGGUAGCCGCACUCAAAACUGCAGUUCUUGAGUGAAGUAGAGGCAGGCGGAAGUCCGAGUGUAGCGGUGAAAUGCGUAGAUAUUAGGAGGAACACCAGUGGCGAAGGCGGCCUGCUGGGCUUUUACUGACGCUGAGGCUCGAAAGUGUGGGGAGCAAACAGGAUUAGAUACCCUAGUAGUC